AGAGUCCAAGCAAGAUGUAGUCCCACUUAGUAGAAUAGGGAGAGUGUGAGGUGAGAGUCUUGGCGAAAGUGAAGGUAAAGGAGCGGUGCCGAGUUCUCUCGGCCUUACUCCAUUUUGUAAGCCACCUCGGAGGAAUGGAAUAUCUUUGGAGUGAAGUUCCUCGUCUCUCGUCGGUCCUAACGAGAAGGAGUUGAUCGACGUUCCAAGCAACCAGCGGAUCCAGAAGGACUACCCCGACACCCGGAGGAUCCAGAAGGACGUACCGGACGACCAAAAGAUGCCAGAGACCAAGGAAGACCAUGAAGACCUAUCAGCCUGAUAGAUGCAGGAUCCGAGUAAAGGAGUUGACAGGACGACAAAGGAAGACAAUGUGAAGGAUGGCCCGAGCUACACUCCGAGCUGCCUGUGGAGAUGAUUCGGAAGAUGAAGUUCCCCAGAAAAUUAGAUAUCGUUUCAGCUUUCUGUUUGUUUUCUUUUAGCCCAAGGGGCUUGUACUCUGAGAUUCGUAAUACAAUCCUUUGGAUUAUGUAUUAA